rnacentral:rRNA from 1 species
GACGAACGCUGGCGGCGUGCUUAACACAUGCAAGUCGAACGGAAAGGCCCUGCUUGCAGGGUGCUCUAGUGGCGGACGGGUGAGUAACACGUGGGUGAUCUGCCCCUUACUUUGGGAUAAGCCUGGGAAACUGGGUCUAAUACUGGAUAGGACCACGCUGUCGGUGGUGUGGUGGAGAGAUUAGUUUCGGUAUGGGGUGAGCUCGCGGCCUAUCAGCUUGUUGGUGGGGUAAUGGCCUACCAAAGCGUCGACGGGUAGCCGGCCCGAGAAGGGGGACGGAGACAUUAGGAUUGGGAUACGGCCCAGACUACUACGGGAGGGAGCAGUGGGGAGGAUUGCACAAUGGGCGGAAGCAUGAUGCAGUGACGCCGCGUGGGGGAUGACGACCGUCGUGUUGUAAACUCCUUUCAGCCAUGAAGAAGCGCAUGUAGUGACGGUAGUGGUAGAAGAAGCACCGGCUAACUACGUG